UACGGAGGGGGCUAGCGUUGUUCGGAAUUACUGGGCGUAAAGCGCACGUAGGCGGAUUGGUCAGUUAGGGGUGAAAUCCUGGAGCUCAACUCCAGAACUGCCUUUAAUACUGCCAGUCUCGAGUCCGGAAGAGGUAAGUGGAACUCCUAGUGUAGAGGUGGAAUUCGUAGAUAUUAGGAAGAACACCAGUGGCGAAGGCGGCUUACUGGUCCGGUACUGACGCUGAGGUGCGAAAGCGUGGGGAGCAAACAGG
rnacentral:rRNA from 1 species